CUUAAACAUAUCUUCAGU
rnacentral:siRNA from 1 species